rnacentral:rRNA from 1 species
AAACUAACAAGGAUUCCCCUAGUAGCGGCGAGCGAAGCGGGAAGAGCUCAAAUUUAUAAUCUGGCACCUUCGGUGUCCGAGUUGUAAUCUCUAGAAGUGUUUUCCGCGUUGGACCGCACACAAGUCUGUUGGAAUACAGCGGCAUAGUGGUGAAACCCCCGUAUAUGGUGCGGACGCCCAGCGCUUUGUGAUACACUUUCAAUGAGUCGAGUUGUUUGGGAAUGCAGCUCAAAUUGGGUGGUAAAUUCCAUCUAAAGCUAAAUAUUGGCGAGAGACCGAUAGCGAACAAGUACCGUGAGGGAAAGAUGAAAAGCACUUUGGAAAGAGAGUUAACAGUACGUGAAAUUGUUGGAAGGGAAACGCUUGAAGUCAGACUUGCUUGCCGGAGCUUGCUUCGGUUUGCAGGCCAGCAUCAGUUUUCCGGGGUGGAUAAUGACGGUUUGAAGGUAGCAGUCUCGGCUGUGUUAUAGCUUUCCGUUGGAUACAUCCUGGGGGACUGAGGAACGCAGCGUGCUUUUUGCGAAAGACUCGUCUU